rnacentral:rRNA from 1 species
GAUGAACGCUGGCGGCGUGCCUAACACAUGCAAGUCGAGCGAACAGACGUGGAGCUUCCUCCUCUGACAUUAGCGCCGGACGGGAAAGUAAAACGUGGUUAACCUACCUAUAAGACUGAGAUAACGUAGCGAAACCGGAGCUAAUACCGGAUAAUAUAUUGAACUGCAUGGUUCAAUAGUGAAAGACGGUUUUGCUGACACUUAUAGCUUGAUCAACGCCGCAUUAGCUAGUUGGUAAGGUAAGGGCUUACAAAGGCAAGGAUUCGUAGCCGACAUGAGAGGGUGAGCGGGCAGACCGGAGCUGAGGGACGGUCCAGACUCCUACGGGAGGCAGCAGUUAGGAAUAUUGCGGGAUGGACGAAGGCUUGACGGAGCAACGCGGCGUGACUGAUGAAGGACUUCGGAUUGUAAAACGCGGUUAUUCGGGAAGAACAAAUCUGUCAGUAACUAUGAAAAUAAUGACGGUACCUGCAGAAAAAGCGACGGCUAACUACGUG